GGAAUAGAGUUACUUCCAUUGAUGAUAGUAAAUGUUCUUGGCUUAUAAGUCUUUGUGUCAAGAAUAUUGACCACAAUUACGUUGCCUCAAUCAUCGACGUCAUCAACUGACAUGGCAACUAAUUCUCCAAU
rnacentral:pre_miRNA from 1 species